rnacentral:rRNA from 1 species
GACGAACGCUGGCGGCGUGCCUAACACAUGCAAGUCGAGCGGGGAUUUAAGUGGAAGUUCUUCGGAAUGGUGAUUUAAAUUCUAGCGGCGGACGGGUGAGUAACGCGUGAACAAUCUGUCCCGGACAGGGGGAUAACACUUGGAAACAGGUGCUAAUACCGCAUAAGACCACGGCCUCGCAUGUGGCUGAGGUCAAAGGAGCAAUCCGGUUCGGGGUGAGUUCGCGUCCGAUUAGCUAGUUGGUGAGGUAACGGCCCACCAAGGCGACGAUCGGUAGGCGGCCUGAAGGGGUGAACGGCCACAGGGGAACGGAGAGACGGUCCAAACUAGUACGGGAGGCAGCAGUGGGGAAUAUUGGGCAAUGGGCGAAAGCAUGACCAAGCAACGCCGCGUGAGGGAAGAAGGUUUUCGGAUUGUAAAAAUCUGUCCUAUGGGACGAAGGAAGUGACGGUACCAGAGGAGGAAGCCCCGGCUAACUACGUG